UACGAGGGGGGCUAGCGUUGCUCGGAAUUACUGGGCGUAAAGGGCGCGUAGGCGGUUCUGUUAGUCAGGCGUGAAAUUCCUGGGCUCAACCUGGGGGCUGCGCUUGAUACGGCGGAACUAGAGGAUGGAAGAGGCUCGUGGAAUUCCCAGUGUAGAGGUGAAAUUCGUAGAUAUUGGGAAGAACACCGGUGGCGAAGGCGGCGAGCUGGUCCAUUACUGACGGCUGAGGCGCGACAGCGGUGGGGAGCAAACAGG
rnacentral:rRNA from 1 species